AAGACUAUAGACCUGCGGAGUACCUGCGGAGGGAUCAUUAACGAGUUAGGGUCUUCCAGGCCCGACCUCCCAACCCUAUGUUUAUUGAACCUCUGUUGCUUCGGCGGACCCGUCCCAUGACCGCCGGAGGACCGCCGCGAGGCGUCCUCUGGCCAGCGUCCGCCGACAGCCGACCACUUCAAACUCUGAAUGAAUCGUGUCAUGAUGUCUAAGUCUAUGAUUUAAAUUAAAGCAAAACUU
rnacentral:misc_RNA from 1 species